CUUUCCUAUCGCAAAUUUUUUUAUACUAUCUUGAGCUUUGCCGCAUUUUGAAACAAUCUUUGUACCGCUACACGACGUCACCGUCCCGAGCCAAUUGUGUGUGUGAGUGUGUGUGUGAGUCAUUCAGAUUUGAUUUGAAAAGGAACUUCCUUCCUUGCCGGAACUUUUUAUCAUACGUGGAUUUCAUGAAGCGUGUUGGUCUCCAUCGGAACCUUUUCAUGAACGUGCUGAGACCCAAAUAUUUACAUUCUGCCAUGUUCUGGGGCCUGACAGUCAAAGGUUGAGAGAGUGAAUGAUUAAAUGGUAUGUUGGAGGAUGUCCCAUCAAUCAGGAAACCUUUUUAAAGCAAAUUUACUGUGUUUUAUACUGGCCGAACAGCUUUCGACUUAAGUGAAGAGGUACUACCACAAAAGUGUACGGAAAAUAAAAUCAUUAAUUACAAGGUUGUUACCACAUUUCGUUCGGCGGGAAUAAAAAAAAAAGUUUGGAACUC